CCCGAGCACGCUGGAGGUGAACCCCUACAUGAUGCUGGUGGGCCACACAGCUCGAAUCGUCUGUCUCAGUAACGGCCUGCUGCACACUAAUCACAGAUACCUGGUCUCCGCCGCCCUGAACGGAGAGAUGUGCGUAUGG